rnacentral:rRNA from 1 species
AUUGAACGCUGGCGGCAGGCCUAACACAUGCCAGUCGAGCGGAUGAAGGGAGCUUGCUCCUGGAUUCACCGGCGGACGGGUGAGUAAUGCCUAGGAAUCUGCCUGGUAGUGGGGGAUAACGUCCGGAAACGGGCGCUAAUACCGCAUACGUCCUGAGGGAGAAAGUGGGGGAUCUUCGGACCUCACGCUAUCAGAUGAGCCUAGGUCGGAUUAGCUAGUUGGUGGGGUAAAGGCCUACCAAGGCGACGAUCCGUAACUGGUCUGAGAGGAUGAUCAGUCACACUGGAACUGAGACACGGUCCAGACUCCUACGGGAGGCAGCAGUGGGGAAUAUUGGACAAUGGGCGAAAGCCUGAUCCAGCCAUGCCGCGUGUGUGAAGAAGGUCUUCGGAUUGUAAAGCACUUUAAGUUGGGAGGAAGGGCAGUAAGUUAAUACCUUGCUGUUUUGACGUUACCAACAGAAUAAGCACCGGCUAACUUCGU